rnacentral:rRNA from 1 species
GUGGGGAAUCUUGCGCAAUGGGCGAAAGCCUGACGCAGCCAUGCCGCGUGAAUGAUGAAGGUCUUAGGAUUGUAAAAUUCUUUCACCGGGGACGAUAAUGACGGUACCCGGAGAAGAAGCUCCGGCUAACUUCGUGCCAGCAGCCGCGGUAAUACGAAGGGGGCUAGCGUUGCUCGGAAUUACUGGGCGUAAAGGGCGCGUAGGCGGACAGCUUAGUCAGAGGUGAAAGCCCAGGGCUCAACCUUGGAAUUGCCUUUGAUGCUGGCUGGCUUGAGUGUGGGAGAGGUGAGUGGAACUCCGGGUGUAGAGGUGAAAUUCGUAGAUAUAGGAAGGAACACCAGUGGCGAAGGCGACUACCUGGACUGAUACUGACACUGAGGUGCGAAAGCGUGGGGAGCAAACAGGAUUAGAUACCCGAGUAGUCC